rnacentral:rRNA from 1 species
CACGUAGGGCGCAAGCGUUGUCCGGAAUUAUUGGGCGUAAAGAGCUCGUAGGCGGUCUGUUGCGUCUGCUGUGAAAACUCGGGGCUUAACCCCGGGCCUGCAGUGGGUACGGGCAGACUAGAGUGCGGUAGGGGAGACUGGAAUUCCUGGUGUAGCGGUGAAAUGCGCAGAUAUCAGGAGGAACACCGGUGGCGAAGGCGGGUCUCUGGGCCGUAACUGACGCUGAGGAGCGAAAGCGUGGGGAGCGAACAGG